GUGAAUCAUCAAAUUUUUGAACGCAAAUUGCGCUUCCUAGCAUCCCGGGAAGUAUGCCUGUUUGAGGGUCAGUAUUAACAAAAAAAUCGGUUUGGUUGCAAAUUGUGACGUUUCCGGGGUUUGGGCUAUCUUAACUUUUUUGGUUAAGGGGCUUAAAAUUGACCUUUUUUGCGCAUUUUUAGACGUACAUAAAUUUUUUUUGUUUUUGUCUUUUUUAUGUCCCAAAUUUUUGUUAUU
rnacentral:misc_RNA from 1 species